rnacentral:rRNA from 1 species
UACGUAGGGUGCGAGCGUUGUCCGGAAUUAUUGGGCGUAAAGAGCUCGUAGGCGGUGUGUCACGUCGGCCGUGAAAACCUGCAGCUUAACUGUGGGCGUGCGGUCGAUACGGGCAUCACUGGAGUUCGGCAGGGGAGACUGGAAUUCCUGGUGUAGCGGUGAAAUGCGCAGAUAUCAGGAGGAACACCGGUGGCGAAGGCGGGUCUCUGGGCCGAUACUGACGCUGAAGAGCGAAAGCGUGGGGAGCAAACAGG